GGAGGGAUUGAGCGGUCAAAGGGGGCAGACUGUAAAUCUGUUGCGAAAGCUUCGAAGGUUCGAAUCCUUCUCCCUCCACCA
rnacentral:tRNA from 1 species